rnacentral:rRNA from 1 species
UACGAAGGGGGCUAGCGUUGCUCGGAAUUAUUGGGCGUAAAGAGCUCGUAGGCGGUUGGGUAAGUCGGGUGUGAAAACUCCAGGCUCAACUUGGAGAUGCCACCCGAUACUGCUCUGACUUGAGUUCGGUAGGGGAGUGGGGAAUUCCUGGUGUAGCGGUGAAAUGCGCAGAUAUCAGGAGGAACACCGGUGGCGAAGGCGCCACUCUGGGCCGAAACUGACGCUGAGGAGCGAAAAGCGUGGGUAGCAAACAGG